UCCAGUCAGUCUGUAAAUCGACCUCAAACAAAUUGCAACAGAAACUAUUUUACCUGGUAUAGAAAGUAUAUGGAAUAACAUGAAUCAUAUCAAAAGUCUAGCAAAAUCUAAGUUGCGCAACAUAGAAAAAAACGGGUUUUUAUCGCGUUAUUUUUUGUGAUUUUUUUCUGACGACAACGGUCUUCCAUAGGCGAACAAAGCGUCUCCGAUACUCAGAAUAGCGACUGCAUAAUGGCGACAACAACAACAAAAUAAGUGUAAACAGAAUAAAUGUCAGUAAAGUACACUGUAAAGUGGGUUGGUGUAUUUUCCUUAAAAUAUUACAGAUCAUAAUAGGAAUUAUUAAUGUGGGGUCGUAAGUUUAUUAUGAGUAUUUGUUGAAAAUUAUUACUUGUUUUACCAGUUCUUUAUCCGUUGAAGGUCAACAGGUGUUUCAAGCGAUCUGUAUUAUACUUUUCAUGGAAAACAGUUUAAUUUAUAUAAAUUACAACUCUGAUUAACUCCUGUCUAAGUAAACAUUCAAAAACGGCCUAAAAAUGUGUACUUAUAACAAGUUAAUUUCGACAGUAUUUUUAAACUAUGGAACGCCAUUAUCACUUAAAUUAUGACGAAUUACGUUAAAUAAAUUAUGAAUACUUUAAUCAUGUUUUAUUGUUAAAUGUGUAUUCAAGGUUGUUUUUUUUUUGUAUUUUUUAAUAGUUUUUUUAAAAUUGUUUUACAUAUAUAAUGUAUGUAAUGUUAUUAUUAUUUCAGGGGUACCGCUUUGAGGUAGUCUUCAUUGAUGUAUGCUUGAUUUUGAAAAUAAAAAAAAAUCCAGUAAACUAUAUGUACACUAAAUGAAUUUCAUCAACACACCAGAGCCAAUGGGUAUGCCCGAUCAUGUGUUCUGGGGACACUGUGAUGUAUACGAGUUAAAGAUGAACUCCUGUCGGAUUUGUUAACGGCUGUUUGAUGAUCA